AUUGAACGCUGGCGGCAUGCUUUACACAUGCAAGUCGAACGGUAACAGGGUGCUUGCACCGCUGACGAGUGGCGAACGGGUGAGUAAUGCGUCGGAACGUGCCGAGUAGUGGGGGAUAACGCAUCGAAAGGUGUGCUAAUACCGCAUACGUACCGAGGUAGAAAGUGGGGGACCUUCGGGCCUCACGCUAUUCGAGCGGCCGACGUCGGAUUAGCUAGUUGGUGAGGUAAAGGCUCACCAAGGCGACGAUCAGUAGCGGGUCUGAGAGGAUGAUCCGCCACACUGGGACUGAGACACGGCCCAGACUCCUACGGGAGGCAGCAGUGGGGAAUUUUGGACAAUGGGCGCAAGCCUGAUCCAGCCAUGCCGCGUGUCUGAAGAAGGCCUUCGGGUUGUAAAGGACUUUUGUCCGGGAGCAAAUACCCAGUGCUAAUAACGCUGGGGGCUGAGAGUACCGGAAGAAUAAGCACCGGCUAACUACGUGCCAGCCGCCGCCGUAAUAC
rnacentral:rRNA from 1 species